AUCAUCACUGUCUCACAUUUAUAAAUCCAUUGAAUUCAGCACCUUCUCUCUCACAUCAUUACUAUAUAUAUCUUCUUACAAAUCUAUGCUUGUGUUCAUUCCCCUUCGUACAAUAAUAGUAACAUAGUGAUGGUGAUGAUGAUGAGUAGUACGGCGAGUUUCACGGAACAGAUGUAUCUGUGUGUGGCGAUCUCAGUAGUGGCGAUUUUGUAUGUAUCUCUCAUAGCACUUGAAUCUCAAUGGACAAACCAUGGUGGCGCUUGGUUGCACCAAGAUAACUACAACUUCCGGCUUCAAACAACUGUCUUAACAACAUUUGAGACUUGAGACUUGAGACCCUUCCAUUCACAUCAUAAAUCUUUAUUUUUUUUCUUUUUAUUUAUUUUCUUUUCUUUUUUUGUGUACGUUGGUUGUCUAUACUCUAUGUAUCCAAUUUUAAAUUGUACUUGUUGUCGAUUUUUUUUAUUAUUUUGAGUUGAUGCACUCAUCUCCUACUUCGGUUGCUUUUUUUUUUUUGUUAAUUUUGAUGUUUGUUGUUUUAUGUAUUCUGAUUUUCAAAUUAAUUGUAUGAAUUCUGAGCUAAUUAUAUGAAUGUUGGAUUCUAAGUUUAUUUUAUGGACAUUAAACUCAAA
rnacentral:lncRNA from 1 species